rnacentral:rRNA from 1 species
ACUCCUACGGGAGGCAGCAGUGGGGAAUAUUGCACAAUGGGGAAACCCUGAUGCAGCCAUGCCGCGUGUGUGAAGAAGGCCUUCGGGUUGUAAAGCACUUUCAGUAGGGAGGAAGGUAGUGUAGUUAACACCUGCAUUAUUUGACGUUACCUACAGAAGAAGCACCGGCUAACUCCGUGCCAGCAGCCGCGGUAAUACGGAGGGGUGCGAGCGUUAAUCGGAAUUACUGGGCGUAAAGCGCAUGCAGGCGGCCUGUUAAGUCAGAUGUGAAAGCCCGGGGGCUUAACCUCGGAAUUGCAUUUGAAACUGGCAGGCUAGAGUCUUGUAGAGGGGGUAGAAUUUCAGGUGUAGCGGUGAAAUGCGUAGAGAUCUGAAGGAAUACCAGU